GCCCUGGUAGCUCAGACUGGGAGAGCGACCGCUUGGUAAGCGGUAGGUCCGGGGUUCAAAGCCCCGCCAGGGCU
rnacentral:tRNA from 2 species